rnacentral:lncRNA from 1 species
UGGUGGAGGAUCAUUUGGGGAAGAGGAGGUUAACUCUCAUGAUUUCAUUAAUUCUAGGAACUCCUGAUGAAUGUGGAAGAACUCUCUAUGGAUAUGAAUGAACAACUCUUCUGGAGUUUGUAGGCUUAGAAAUAUGCCUAGUGCAUUUUAAGGCUAAAUGAUAAUUCCUCUUCACACAGUGAGUACUUGUCAGAGGUAUGAUUUGAACCCAGGUCUUCCCCACUACAAGGCCAAAGUUCUAUCCUCUGCAGUAAACUUCUCCUCACUCGGGGAUUAGCACCCCAUUUAUUAUUAUUCCAUCAAAGGAAGAAGGCAGUGUUUUAUUUUUAAACUCAGUUUCUCAUUAGCUGUUUUCUUUUCUAAAAUAAACCAGGCGGUUUCUGAAUAGGGCCCCAAAGGAAAGCAAAGGCAGACACAAUUUACAACAUGAUGGCAACAUUCACCGGCCUGAAGUUUCCGUUUCUGUGCUGUCCUGCCUUUGACGCAACAAGGUAGCCAUGGAACCCUGGUCUGGCAGGCUGAGUAGUUUCACACUGAGAAUUGUAAUAAACUGGGUUUAACUCCAAACGAGAAACAAACAUUAAGACUGUGUGUUUCAGCCAAGAUCUGCCACUUUUUUGGACAGCUCUCAAGCUGUGAGGUUGCCAGUGUGGCAGACAAACAGAAACUCUCCAACUCUGAUAGCCCUUGUUUGGAGGAAGCCGCUGAUACUCCAGGUCCCAAGUAUCCACAGAGAUGUUCAAAGGUUCAGCUCAUUGCCUUUCCCGUUACAGUGGUAAACUGUCAUCUUGGAUCCGUUGGCCAGGAUGCACACGUUGUUAGGCUUACAGUUUGGCUCUCCGCCUCAGCCUUCCCGGUGCCUGUACUCUCUCCUGCACAUUCACGCAUAUAUGCAUAUAGCUAAGGUUCCUUUGGGAAGCAUUUGCUUUUCUCUGGAGGAUGCCUGGAACGCGGUUGUGAGAUCCCGGCCUAUGUCGAAGCUCCCUCUGCCCCAGUCAAAGCUGGCUAUGCCCUGGGACACAUUUCUCAGCCAUAAGGAAUGGAAGGAGAAUAGCAUUCUGAAUACCAAGAUUCCACAUCUGAGAACCUAUGAAAUUCUGCCUCUGCUUGGCAUAGCCAUCAUGCAUUCUAUGCAAGACAAGUGUCCAGGGUUCACUCACUGGAAAUGAAGCAACUCGACUGUUUACAAGGGGAGGGUUUGGAAAAGCUGAGGCUUCAGCUGCUGUUGAUGUGGCUUCAAUAUAGUUCUGUCUGUCUGCCUCCUUCUCCUUCACAGUAAAUCCCAUUUUUUAUGAGUCAUCUCCUAAUAGUUCAAAGGGCUAUUUGUCUUAUGUCUCAGCUUUGCUGUGAAGACAUCUGGGUAGCCUUUCUUUAUAGGAGCUUAAUUGAAGGUCAUUGGGUGAAGUUAAAAAAAAAAAUAGACAGGUGACACCAUGCCUCCUCUCUGGAAAAAGUGAUGCUAUGCUGAGAGGAGGCUGUGUGUAGGUGUCAUAUUGUAACAAACAUCUUAAAUCCCAAAGCAGGCUUUCCUUGUCUUCUUCUGCCUCUCUGCUUUCCAAACCAAAGGAGGUUUCUUGCUUACAGCAAGGUUUAAGAUGGAGCCUACUCUUAAAUCAGAUCCUGUUUUGACUAAAGGUGAAAAAAAGAGAAUUGGUCUGAAAGAGAGAAAAAUCAAGCCCAUUUCAUUCUAUCCAGUAAACCUUAAUUUGAAGACAGCUAGGGUGGAUAGAGUAUCAGGCCUAGAGAAUGGAGAUCUGAGUUCAGAUCUGAUCUCAGAUACUUCUCAGCUCUGUGAUCCUGGGGAAGUCACUUUACCUCAAUUGCUUAUCUCUUAUUGCUCUUCUGCCUUGGAACUGAUAAUAUCAAUUUUAAGACAAAAGGUAAGAUUUAAAAAAGAAAAACAAAAAAAAUAACUUAGAAUGCUUUCAGUCUUUAGCUCAAUCUUUCUUUAUAUCAAUACCUCCUUAGGAGAGCAAAUAGUAUCUUUUCAUAGAAAAAUGUCACCCUGAGCAUCCACCAAAUAUCAAAAUAUCCUGGAAUCUUAAAAAUAAAAAAAAAAAUAAGCCUAGAAGAUCA